rnacentral:rRNA from 1 species
CACGUAAGGGGCAAGCGUUGUCCGGAAUUACUGGGCGUAAAGGGUGCGCAGGCGGUCUAGCAAGUCAGAGGUGAAAUCCACUAGCUUAACUAGUGAAGGGCCUUUGAAACUGUUAGACUUGAGAGCAGAAGAGGAAGAUGGAAUUCCUGGUGUAGUGGUGAAAUACGUAGAUAUCAGGAAGAACACCAAUGGUGAAGACAGUCUUCUGGUCUGACUCUGACGCUGAGGCACGAAAGCUAGGGUAUCAAACGGG